UACGUAGGGGGCUAGCGUUGUCCGGAAUCAUUGGGCGUAAAGAGCGUGUAGGCGGCCCGGUAAGUCCGCUGUAAAAGUCAAAGGCUCAACCUUUGAAUGUCAGUGGAUACUGCCGGGCUAGAGUCCGGAAGAGGCGAGUGGAACUCCUGGUGUAGCGGUGGAAUGCGCAGAUAUCAGGAGGAACACCGGUAGCGGAAGGCGGGUCUCUGGGCCGACUAUGAGCGCUGAGGAGCGAAAGCUGGGGAGCGAACAGG
rnacentral:rRNA from 1 species